rnacentral:rRNA from 1 species
GUUGAACGCUGGCGGCAGGCCUAACACAUGCAAGUCGAGCGGAUGAAGGGAGCUUGCUCCUGGAUUCAGCGGCGGACGGGUGAGUAAGUCCUAGGAAGCUACCUGGUAUUUGGGGAUAACGUCCGUAAACGGGCGCUAAUACCGCAUACGUCCUGAGGGAGAAAGUGGGGGAUCUUCGGACCUCACGCUAUCAGAUGAGCCUAGGUCGGAUUAGCUAGUUGGUGGGGUAAAGGCCUACCAAGGCGACGAUCCGUAACUGGUCUGAGAGGAUGAUCAGUCACACUGGAACUGAGACACGGUCCAGACUCCUACGGGAGGCAGCAGUAGGGAAUAUUCGACAAUGGGCGAAAGCCUGAUCCAGCAAUGCCGCGUGUGUGAAGAAGGUCUUCGGAUUGUAAAGCACUUUAAGUUGGGAGGAAGGGCAGUAAGUUAAUACCUUGCUGUCUUGACGUUACCAACAGAAUAAGCCACGGCUAACUUCGUG